UGGGGAAUAUUGGACAAUGGACCGAGAGUCUGAUCCAGCAUUUCUGUGUGCACGAUGAAGUUUUUCGGAAUGUAAAGUGCUUUCAGUUGGGAAGAAAAAAAUGACGGUACCAACAGAAGAAGUGACGGCUAAAUACGUGCCAGCAGCCGCGGUAAUACGUAUGUCACAAGCGUUAUCCGGAUUUAUUGGGCGUAAAGCGCGUCUAGGUGGUUAUGUAAGUCUGAUGUGAAAAUGCAGGGCUCAACUCUGUAUUGCGUUGGAAACUGUAUAACUAGAGUACUGGAGAGGUAAGCGGAACUACAAGUGUAGAGGUGAAAUUCGUAGAUAUUUGUAGGAAUGUCGAUGGGGAAGCCAGCUUACUGGUCAGAUACUGACGCUAAAGCGCGAAAGCGUGGGUAGCAAACAGG
rnacentral:rRNA from 1 species